ACAACCGAAGUUCUGAAGUCCCGGGCGCAUAGCGGGCUCGGAGCACUUGCAGUCUGCGCGCUCGCUCGGAGGAGCUGCCGCUGUUCGCUGUUCCUGAGCUCAGACCAGCAGACCAGGGCGCGCCCUGCUUUCCUCCUUCCCUCCGUUGCUGGCAGAUCUGUGCACCUUACGGAGGCUGAAUGACGGGCCCUUGUCGGGCCAGCAGUUGCUUGGGACUCUCAGGGAGCUGAGCCCCUGCCAAGAAGAGAUUGGCAGCGGGGCAUUCUCAGUCAAGGCUUGCGGACCUCCUGGGACGGCCCCGCCCCCCGGGGGGGACACUUGGGGGGCCAUGUCCGCCAACUUGAGCCACACCUUUCUGAACACCACCGCUCAGAAGAGUGAAGCGUGGGUGGUGGGCUUGGGCAUUGUCAUGUCCAUCAUAGUCCUGGCCACUGUCUUUGGCAACGUGCUGGUCAUCACAGCCAUCGCCAGGUUCCAGCGUUUGCAGACUGUCACUAACUACUUCAUCACAUCACUGGCUUGUGCUGACCUGGUUAUGGGGCUGGCCGUGGUGCCCUUUGGUGCCAGUCACAUCCUCAUGGAAAUGUGGACCUUCGGGAACUUUUGGUGUGAGUUCUGGACCUCCAUUGAUGUUCUGUGUGUCACAGCCAGCAUCGAGACCCUCUGUGUUAUUGCUGUGGACCGCUACUUCGCCAUCACAGCACCCUUUCGGUACCAGAGUCUGCUUACCAAGAGCAAGGCCAGGGUGGUCAUCUUAGUGGUCUGGGUGGUAUCGGCCCUCACUUCCUUCCUGCCCAUUCAGAUGCACUGGUAUCGUGCCAGCCACAAGGAAGCUCUCUUGUGCUACGAGGAGGAGACCUGCUGUGACUUCUUCACUAACCAGGCUUAUGCCAUUGCUUCCUCUAUCGUGUCCUUUUACGUGCCUCUAGUGAUCAUGGUGUUUGUGUACUCCCGGGUUUUCCAGGUGGCCAAGAAGCAACUUCAGAAGAUUGAUAAAUCUGAGGGCCGCUUUCAUGUCCAGAACAGCAGCCAGAUGGAGCAGAAUGGAAGGACAAGUCACCGAAGGUCUUCCAAGUUCUGUUUGAAGGAACAUAAAGCUCUGAAGACUUUGGGUAUAAUCAUGGGGACUUUUACCCUCUGUUGGCUGCCUUUCUUCAUUGUCAACAUUGUCCAUGCAAUACAGGACAACACUGUCCCCAAAUAUGUGUACAUUUUUCUGAACUGGGUGGGCUACUCCAACUCAGCCUUCAAUCCGCUGAUCUACUGUCGGAGUCCCGACUUCAGGUAUGCCUUUCAGGAGCUCCUCUGUUUCAGGAGGUCAGCCCUGAAGCUCUAUGGCAAUGGCCACUCCAGCAACAGCAACGGGAGGAGCGAGCCCAAUGGGGAGCAUGGGAGCUAUCCCACUGAACAGGAGAAGGAGAUGGAGCUGCUGUAUGAAGACCUCCCAGGCACUGAGGGCUUUUUGAACUGUACAGGUACUGUGCCUAACGCUAGCGCCGGCUUAGAGAGCCAGGAUCAGACUCUGGAUGAUACCCCCUUGUGACUGUCUCUCUGGUUGGUAAAAACCCUCAGCAAACCGAGCAAGGUGGGGAAAAAGAAAGAAACAAUUUUUUAAAGAACAACAACCAAAAAAAAAAUCCAGCAAAAACAACUCAUCACAAACCCCCAAACACUAAGCCUACUCUAACUCAUGAGCUAGAAAUGUCUAGUCAGCCUAUAGAGAGAUGGGCAGGAGGGAGAAGGACAGUUUUAGGUUAUUUAUUGUUUUUAAAUUAUCAGGAAACAGAACAACUAACCCCCCACCCCGGUUCUAGGGAUUCCUCACUUCUGUAACGGUUGGGUUCUGCCUGGAAUGGAGUUUGAAGUGUAUGUCCACUUCCAGGGUCUCAGGCCUUGAGGACCUGGAUCUAGUUUGGAUGGCUUUCUCAUAGACCUACCUCAUUUGUCAAGUAUUAGGUUUAGCAUACUUCUACUUGGGACAUCUCUCUGGAGGGGCAGGCCUUCCCCCAGGGCCUUGUGGAUGCUCCAGCUGGACCUGGCUGUCAAUGGAUUUGUCUCCUCCUCUUAUUUGCUCACAUGGGCAGUUGGAGGCAGGGACACAGAGGGGGCAGCUUCUGCUGUUGAAUGAGCAAAGUCUAAAGUUUACAGUAAAUAAAUUGUUUUGCUAUGACAUCACUGCACCUGUUUGUCCCAAUCCCCCAGCGGAACAUUCUUGUUGGAAACCACAGGUAACUGUUUGUAAUAGCUGUCCGAUGACUUAAUGGUGAAUUAAUAGCAGUAAUAAGAAGACACAUUUCUGUGGUGUUUGCCAGUUCUUCCUAGUGCUAUCCCCCACAGCUUUGUGAGGAGGUGAAAGAAAGGACUUGCCUACAGUCAUACGGCUACAAAGUGUAGAUGGGGUCUUGAACCCAGGGCUGUUCCUCUAGCUCUAGUCUUCCUUUUUUCAUAUCACACUUCUUGGAAUUACAUUUGCACAUAGCUUAAAUCUGUUGGCGUUGAAUGUUAUAAUAAACACAUCUCAAGUGACCCUUCUACCUUAAGGCAAGCUCCUCUGAUUUGCUGAAGUAUGUUGCUCAUUAGUGUACCUAUUUAUAUAUUAUUGAUAUGUAAAUCUAUUUAAUAAGUAUUAAAUAAUAAAAGUGUUAUUUAUUAUUAAUGGGAAACUGUCAAUUUCCCAUUAGUUAUUUAUUCCAAAAUUUUUCGUGGGACGAUGGUGGUACGAUGGAAAGAGGGAGGAAAAGUCCAGCUGGGUUCAAGUGCCCGCAGACUCUUACUACCCACACGACCUUGGUGAAAUCAUUUAACCCCUGUAAAAACCUCAUCUGUAAAGAGAAGAGGCUGGAUUGGCUGGCCUCUGGCGUCCCUUCCAGCUCUGGGUUUAGUAUCCUACAAUCAAGUAAAAACUUCAAUUCAACGAUAAUCAAAACUCACAGGUCCCAUUUACAUAGCACUUCAGAAUGACAGCGCUCUUUACAGACACAUCACCUCACUUAAUCCCCUACCAUGUUUUCAUGUGGAUGGUAGCACAUCCCCAUUUGCCUAAUGAAAAAACUGAGGCCCCGAGAGGGGAAGUCGUUUCUUCGAGUCUCACAGCUAGUAAAGCCUCGGAGCUGAGAUUCAGACUGAACGCUCUGUACUCUAAAUGCAGCCCUCUUCCUGUUGCACCACAAACUGCCUCCUGGUAGACUUUCUGCGUGCUGUUUACCUCAGAAAGAGUGACUCAUGGACAUGAAGUGAUGGACAGCCAUCUCCCUGCCUGCUGUUUAUGGCAGCCUGCCAAAUGUAUACCCUCACUCUGCCUUUCCUUGGGAAUCUCUGAACCUACUGAGGCUGGAUGGUUAGAAAAGAAAGAGGACUCAGCUGUGUGGUCUGAGAAUGCUGCCUCCCCCCAACCCCAAAUGACAGUCUCUCUCAUUCCCACCAGAAUGCCGAGGACCAGGAGUGAGCUGGUGGCCAGAGGCCCCGGAUCAUCCUAGGACAGUUGAAAGCUGAGUGGGCUAUAUUUUCUCCUAUUUUCCUGGGAGAACAAGCAUUGGCCUGGGGACUGCUACCUUGUUGUGCUGCCUGCCUCCAAGUCUUUGUCUAACAGUGACCUUUCUGCCACUGGAAAGGUGACAGAGGAGCUCAAGAUCUGAAGGCAAAGGAGCAGUGAGCCAUGGAAGUAGAUAAUCUGGAAGGAACAUAGCUGAUCAAGAGCUGGGAGAUGAGGGCAACCCAGGAAACUGCAAUCUGCUGCAGCCAGAGAUCUCCAAACACCAAAGUCUCUAGGAUGGAGAAGAGGGUUAGCGUGGGCUUCCCUGUCCCACCUAACCCGAGGACAGUGACACAACGCUUUGACACUCCAGGGAUUUUAUUUCUUUAUUAUUAACAAGUUCAUGGGAGUCAGCUUGAACUGGCCUCAUAAUGGGACCCAGGGGACAACAGGACCCAGAUGGGCUGUGUUGUCAAGUUUGAAAAAAAUAAUAAUCGUUUUAACAUAAAUGGAAGAAACACUGAAACAGCUUAA